rnacentral:rRNA from 1 species
AUGGAUGAGAGGAUUGUUGCUCCAAGUCCUGAUGGAAGAAAGGGUAGGCUGUUGUUAGUUUGGAAGAAGGAGGUUAGGAUCUACUCCCGGGCUACCACCCUUGAUGGUAUUGAUGUUGAAGUUCAUGAAAGUAAUGGGGAUGUCUGGAGGUUAACUGGCAUCUACGGAGAGCCAAGUUGGGAGAGUAAGGAGCGUACGCAUCGCCAUAUAAGAGAGUUACAUACCCAAUCCAGGUUACCCUGGGUUAUAAUUGGAGACUUUAAUGAGAUUUUAUUCUCUUCGAAGAAAGAGGGGGGAGCACCAAGACAACACUCCCGCUUACAAGUGUUUCAGGAUGCGCUUUCUGAUUGUGCUUUGGAGGACCUAGGGUAUGUUGGUGAUAGGUUCACUUGGUUCCGUGGUGGACUGAGGGAGAGGCUGGACCGUGCGGUUACUAAUGCUGAUUGGAUGACCAUGCACCCUCAGGCAAGCUUAUGUAAUCUAGAGAUGGGGAAAUCUGAUCACCGACCCAUUCUUCUUGAUACUGAGUACUUAGCUAGUGUGGAAGAGAGAAAGCCUAAAUAA